rnacentral:tRNA from 1 species
GCCCGGGUGGUCUAGUGGUAUGAUUCUCGCUUAGGGUCAACCCUAAAGCUUAGCAUGCGAGAGGUCCCGCGUUCGAUCCGCGGCUCGGGCC